rnacentral:ncRNA from 2 species
CAUCAUCACUAGGGGUGCUAUUGUGAAUAGCUGAGACGGAAAUACAUUUCUGAACUCUUUGAACCGGAUCUGGUUUGUACCAGCGUAGGGAAGUGUGGCAAACGUUUU